rnacentral:rRNA from 1 species
UACGUAGGGGGCAAGCGUUGUCCGGAUUUAUUGGGCGUAAAGAGCGUGUAGGCGGCCAUGCAGGUCCGCUGUGAAAACUCGAGGCUCAACCUCGAGACGUCGGUGGAAACCGUGUGGCUAGAGUCCGGAAGAGGAGAGUGGAAUUCCCGGUGUAGCGGUGAAAUGCGCAGAUAUCGGGAAGAACACCCGUGGCGAAGGCGACUCUCUGGGACGGUACUGACGCUGAGACGCGAAAGCGUGGGGAGCGAACAGG